CGUGUUGUGAGGCUGGACGCCAAUGACUUAAUCCUUGCCAUCCCUGGCUCCCUCCUCGGAGAAAUGGGGCUUGAUUUCUUGCUCGAAACUUGUGGGGACACCAAGUACCUAAACAAAUGGUUCCCAGGCAGCUCUGAAAAGUACCGGCGUGCGUGCCUCCUCUCCCCCAAACAGCUCAUCGCGCCUGGCCCGUCUGGAACCCUAAACCAGCCGUGCGCACGUUCCCGGAGCACAGAGUCAGCUGUCAUUUUCCCAGCCCCAGCCGCUCUCCGCACGAACAAGUGAAGUUUCAAGGCCGGCAAGGGGCGGCCUGCAGAGGCCAGGAAGGCGGAACGUUUCAACAGAGGAGAAAAGACAGCGUUUUGGGAAAAUGGGUCAGUGGUUAAGCAAUCAGGCCGGCGCGCAGCAAAGCCGGGUGAACUUACCUUAGACCGGCCACGGCCAGACAGCCCGGGGCCCCAGGGUCGUCGGCCUCUCCGGGUUCUCCGCGUCAGGUGCCUCCCUCCGCCCUCCCCGGGGCCCAGAGGCUCUCAAGGACCUGGACCAGGUUGGGUGCAGCUCAGCGCAGCUUGGGGUGUUGGUGACUACAGGAUUCUGAGAAUUGAGGCCCAAUGCCCGUUCUCUUCUUCUGCCUUCGUGAAAGAAGUUUUAGCCAGACAAAUGACUACACGGAAUAAAGUCGGCAUCGCUCAGCCUUCCCUGUAGGUUGGCAUGGCUGUGUGGCUAAGUUUGGAUGGAUCUUUCCUUGCAGCUCUUGGAGCAUCUCCACCAUCAGAAACCUUAGGAAAAGCUCGACCACAGGGAAGAUGUGAAGACUAAAACAGGCCUUGGACUGGAAUGGGAGAAUAAGUGCUUCUGGUCUCUGGGCCUCUUGGGUAGACCAGGACUCUGGAUAGAGGGCAUGUCCCCCAUGGGGAGAUUCUGCUCCUCUGUGGGACUCGGCAUCAGGGUUUGGCUCCCAGAUACUCACUUGGAUAAAAAGGCCUUUUAAAAGUUGUCCUCUGGCCGGUGCUGUGGCCCGAAGCACUGGUGCCAGUUGAAGUCCUGUCUGCUCCUCUUCUGAUCCAGCUCUCUGCUAUGGCCUGGGAAAGCAGUAGAAGAUGACUCAAGUCCUUGGGCCCCUGCACCCACAUGGGAGACCCAGAAGAAGCUCCUGGCUCCUGGCUUCUGAUUGGCUCAGCUCUGGCCAUUGUGGCCAAUUGGGGAGUGAACCAGCAGAUGGAAGACCUCUCUCUUCUCUCUCUCGCUGCCUCUUUUCUCUCUGUGUAAU